UCAAACGUGUGCUCUUGCCAUCUUAAUUUGAGGAAUCACAUGAUAAUUAAAGAGAUCACAUGAUCAAUCAGGACACACACUGAUCCAAAAAAUAAAUAAAUAAAAAA